CAAGGAUUCCCCUAGUAACGGCGAGUGAAGCGGGAAGAGCUCAAGCUUAAAAUCUCCGUGCAAGUUUUGUGCGGCGAAUUGUAGUCUAUAGAAGCGUGGUCAGCAUGGGCACUUGGGGCAAGUUCCUUGGAAGAGGACAGCAUGGAGGGUGAUACUCCCGUUCAUUUCUGAGUUGCUCGUGCGUACGACCCGUUUUCUUUGAGUCGCGUUGUUUGGGAAUGCAGCGCAAAGUAGGUGGUAAAUUCCAUCUAAAGCUAAAUAUUGGUGCGAGACCGAUAGCGAACAAGUACCGUGAGGGAAAGAUGAAAAGAACUUUGAAAAGAGAGUUAAAGAGUACCUGAAACUGCUGAAAGGGAACCGAAUCGUUUCCAGUGUCUAUAAUCCGUGGUAUAUUUCAUUGGCGAGUGUGUGCGUGCGUGUGCUGUGGCAGCGGCUUUUUUGGCUGCGCUCGGCGUGUGUGCUGUGUGUGCUUGCUGGUGCUCUGUGCUGCGGUGGGACGUCAAGGUCAGUUCGUAUGCUGCGGGAAAUGGCUGCCGAGGAGGUAGGGCUUACGCUUGCGUUUGUCUGUUAUAUCUUGGUGGACGAGUAGUCGCGGUUGGGACUGAGGUGCCUACAACGUGCUUUUGAGUGGGUUUGUGUCUCCGUGUGCGCCGUGUGCGGAUAGCUUGCUAUGCGUGUGUGGUUGUGUGUGGAUUGAUGCGAGCUUUAACUUGUUGCCGUUCGGGACGUUGACGAAAUGGAGCGAUUCGACCCGUCUUGAAACACGGACCAAGGAGUCUAACAUGUGUGCAAGUGUUAGGGUGUGGAAACCCCAGCGCGAAAUGAAAGUGAAGGGCAGCGUAAGUUGUCUGAGGUAGGAAAUGCUGCGGGCUUCGGUCUGCGGUGUGGCACUAUCGACCGAUCAUGAACCUUCGUGGUGAAAGAUUUGAGUUUGAGCACAUAUGUUGGUACCCGAAAGAUGGUGAACUAUGCCUGAGUAGGGUGAAGCCAGGGGAAACUCUGGUGGAAGCUCGUAGCGAUUCUGACGUGCAAAUCGAUCGUCAAACUUGGGUAUAGGGGCGAAAGACUAAUCGAACCAUCUAGUAGCUGGUUCCCUCCGAAAUUUCCCUCAGGAUAGCAGCAACUUAUUUACGAUAGUUUUAUGAGGUAAAGCGAAUGAUUAGAGGAUUCGGGGAAGAAACUUCCUCGACCUAUUCUCAAACUUUAAAUCUGUAAGACCUGCAGGUUUCUUAAUUGAACUUGUGGAUG
rnacentral:rRNA from 1 species